rnacentral:rRNA from 1 species
CAGUCGCCGCGGUAAUACGUAGGGUGCAAGCGUUAAUCGGAAUUACUGGGCGUAAAGCGUGCGCAGGCGGUUAUAUAAGACAGAUGUGAAAUCCCCGGGCUCAACCUGGGAACUGCAUUUGUGACUGUAUAGCUAGAGUACGGCAGAGGGGGAUGGAAUUCCGCGUGUAGCAGUGAAAUGCGUUGAGAUCGGAAAGAACACCAACGGCGAAAGCACUCUGCUGGGCCGACACUGACACUGAGAGACGAAAGCUAGGGGAGCAAAUGGGAUUAGAUACCCCUGUAGUCCCUGUCUCUUAUAC